GGCUCCGCGGGCCCAGAGCUAUGGCUCUGCAGAGGGUCCCUGCGCUAAAGCAAGUCGGGGCAAAACGGUAAGCGGAAGGAACUGCCCAGGAAAAAGCUGGAGGCCGUUCUCCUCGCUCCGCCGCCGCUGACUCCGAGCAGCAGCCCAGAAAUGAGCCGCCCUCCCUCCUUCGGGGGAACCCCACACCCCUACUCCUGGGGCAGGAGCGACAGUGGGUGAUCAACCCGAACGGGGCAGUGCUCAGACUCGGGGACCGAGGCCAAGGGGAAGUGUCCCGGGGCAGCAGGAAAGGACACCCAGUGAAAAUGAAGUACUUUUCUUACGUUCCCAAUAUAUUGCUGCAAGAGUGAAGUCAUCACCCUUGGAUUGCAUGUUAACUUCAGAUGUGGCUCCAUUUGAAAUAUAAUACUAGCUGCCUCCCACAACCACAUCAGAAUUACAACUAAACUACAGAGCAACCAUCAUUCAGAACAACCCAAGCUGAAUGGAAGUUCUACAACUAGGAAUUUAAAGAAGAAGCCACGUCAAGGCUGAAAAGAGGGGCAGAGGAUGGAACAGGCUGGUCCCACAACCGCAUGUGGUGUUUUAGAACUGGAAAGAAUAUCUCUUCUGUGGAAUUCCCACCCCCCCCCCCCCCCGAGGAGCAAGGGAUCCCAGCCCCACACCAGGCGCUCCAGACCAGGGUUCCAAGGCCAGGAAGGGAAGUUUUACAUAACUUCUGGCUGUAAAAGCCAGUAGGGAUGGAGGCUGUGAGACAGGGGCUGCUGGAGUCCUAGGCAGUUCCUAUUAAAGGACCCACACACAUACUUACUUGGAGUCAGUCCCUCUGAGCUCCAGCACUGGAGCAGUAGCUUGAAAGGCACCAGGGACAAAUGAAGAGAAACUGAAUUGUCUGGCAUCAGGGUAAGAGCUGGAGGGGCAGCUUUCUCACAGACAAAAGUGCUGGCAGAGGCCAUUGUUCCUUUUCUGAGACCACGCCCACAGAGCCAGUAGGCAGGUGCCAUAUCUGAAUCUCCAUCAACCUGUGUCACACUGUUUGUUCAGCCCUGGUGAUUCCCUGAGACCCUGCCCCACCCAACUUGCAGGCUCAGUCAAGCUGUUUCCGGUGGCUUUUCCAUACAAAUGGUCUUUCUUACCUCAUGCUUUAGGCUUUUCUAAAAUAAGCAGCACCAGGCCUCUGCAUACCCAGUACCUCUUGUUAAGUGGCCCCAGGCCCAGCACUAGUGGCAGCCAGACUUGGUUCACAGCUUGGCCUCUCCUGGGCACUUCCAAGCCCAGCACGAGUAGCCGCCAUCUGCAGAUCACUGUAACUUGUGCCAAUGGCACCAGGCAGGGCACAGGUGAUAGCUAACUUUGCUCCUCCUGAGAGGCCCAGAGCCAGUGUGCCUGGGGGACAGCUUCAGGCCAUACCAGAA